ACAAACUUGGUCAUUUAGAGGAAGUAAAAGUCGUAACAAGGUUUCCGUAGGUGAACCUGCGGAAGGAUCAUUAGAGAAUACAUUGACACGGGCUUGUCCCGUGCCAACACACUCUAUCUUCACACCUGUGAACUGUUGAUCGGUCGAGCGCGAUCUCGGUCGAGGGUGGUGUGUGGCCACCCGAAUCAUCCUUUUUUUGUAAACCAUAGUUGUGCAAAGCGUUACGCCGCAGGGCGAUUUUGAAAUCAUGAUACAACUUUCAGCAACGGAUCUCUAGGCUCUCGCAUCGAUGAAGAACGCAGC
rnacentral:misc_RNA from 1 species